rnacentral:rRNA from 1 species
UACGGAGGGAGCUAGCGUUGUUCGGAAUUACUGGGCGUAAAGCGCGCGUAGGCGGCUUUGUAAGUUAGAGGUGAAAGCCCGGGGCUCAACCCCGGAAUUGCCUUUAAGACUGCAUCGCUAGAAUUGUGGAGAGGUAAGUGGAAUUCCGAGUGUAGAGGUGAAAUUCGUAGAUAUUCGGAAGAACACCAGUGGCGAAGGCGACUUACUGGACACAUAUUGACGCUGAGGUGCGAAAGCGUGGGGAGCAACAGG